GUGCUUGCUCUGGCAGCACAUAUACCAAAACUGAAAGGACACAGAGAAGAUUAGCAUGGCCCCUGUGCAAGGAUGAUAUGCAAAAUUUAUGAAGAGUUCCACUUUUAA